GCGGUGAAACACAGCUUCCCAUUCAUUUCCAAAGGAAGGAAAGCGGUGAGAGGCGGAGAGGGCGGGGGACCUUUGGGCGGUGCGAAGGUGGCGUGGGAGCCGGUGAAAAAGAUCAACGUUUUUCAACUUUAUGCAAAUCGCUAGCGGCGACCGCUGGGCGAUGACCAAUCAUAUCGAUUGGUUCCCAUGACGAAUUUGACUCCACGCUACCCAAGGCUUGGAGACUUUCUUCAGCAAAGAUGGCUGACAAAAAUGCUAUGAUGGAAGCACAUGGACUCCUGAAACAACCAGCAAACCAGACUGUCGUCUUGUGAAACAUGUAAUUGUCAAUACCUUCUGAUGUAAAGAAUCUAGCUAGCUAAAGCAUUUACUGCAAAUUGAAUGUACAAUUUUGUAUGCUUGCCUUGCUGAUAUUUGCCAUGCAAUGGAGAUAGAUUAAAUAACGUAGCUAGCUAUGUUCUUGCUUAUUGUGCAGUGGAGGAUUAAAAAAAAUACCUGUAUGCCUAUGGAUGUGUAGCUAGUUAUGUAGCCGAUCUGUGUAUGGUCCAUAAAACAUUUGGUAUACAUAUUAGUUCAGAACCUAGCUAUGAACCUCAGCUAUCAUAACCAGUUGUAUCAACUUCAAAACAGUCUGAAUUACAUUAAUGAAACCUAUGGAUUACCAAAGUCUAAUGGUUUUAAAUGACUGCUUUGUAUUGUCUAGAAACUCACUUGUAGAUUUCGCUUGCAGUAGGUCUCUUAAAAAAGAGAAGCCGUGCAAGGUUAUUAAACAGAGGUGCCUAGUUAUUCUUCUUUUGUUGAUAUCAGGUAACGUGCACCUAACCCUGGCCCUGAUAUGCAAUGUCUCCAAAUGUCCCCUCUGAUUUUAAAUCAAGAUCUGGUUUUGGUAUUUUUCAUUUAAAUGUACACAGCCUGUUGUCAAAAAUUGAUGGGGUUAGGAUUUGGGCUAAAUCAACUGAUGCUGAUGUAAUUGUGUUUUCUGAAACCUGGCUCAGCAAGUCUGUUUUUGAUAAGGAUAUUUGUAUAAGUGGUUACAAUGUUUAUCGCACUGAUUGGGUUAAGAAAGGUGGAGGUGUGGCUAUAUAUGUAAAAAUCUAAAUUCCCUGUAAGUGUGGCAAAGUCUGAAACUAUUUGUAAACAGUUGUAAUUUCUUGCUUUGAAUAUUGAGUUUUCAAAGGGCUUCUCUAUAACUGUGAUUGGCUGUUAUAGACCACCCUCUGCUCUCUAUAACUGUGAUUGGCUGUUAUAGACCCCCCAGUGCUCUCUAUAACUGUGAUUGGCUGUUAUAGACCCCCCUCUGCUCUCGGUGAUGCAUUUUCUUCUCUGAUGAACCUUAUGUCUAAACUUCUUUACAGUGAAAUGAUCUUGAUUGGUGAACUCAACUGGUGUUGGUUAAAGCUGGUGUCUGAUGAUUUAAAAAUGUUUUGUAAUUCUAUGAAUCUUACCCAGUUGAUUAACUCGACCAAAUCUUAAAUGCCCAGAAAAAUCUACCGUGAUUGAUUUGAUAUUGACAAAUGUUCCACAUAAAUAUUCUGCGGUUGGUGUUUUUUGUAAUGAUUUAAGUGACCAUUGUGCUGUUGUUGCUGUUAGAAAUACUAAGGUUCCAAAGACAAACCCACGUUUUAUUCGUAAGAGAAAUGUGAAGCGUUUUAAUGAGCAGGCUUUCUUUCAUGAUUUGUUUUAUUUUGACUGGAGCAAGAUUGAGCUUAUCCCUGAUGUGGAAACUGCCUGGAAAUUCUUUCAUGAUGGUUUUUCCCAAAUAGUAAACAAACAUGCCCCAUUCCGCAGGUUCAGGGUUAAAGGGCGGGAUAAUCCAUGGUUUUCUUCUGAGCUGUCUUGUAUUAUUCACAACUGUAAUCUAGCCUGGGCUAAAGCAAGGAAAUCAUGUUCUGAUGCUGAUUGGCUUAUUUUUAGGCAGUUACGAAACAAGUGUUAUUUUCUUCUCAGGAAGGCCAAGUCUGAAUAUUUUAUAUGUCUGUUACCACUGAUAACCUGAAUGACCCUAGAAAGUUUUGGAAGGCUAUUAAGUCUAUGUCUGGUAACAGUAAUGUUAAUGAAUUACCAUCAUGUGUUUUGAAGGACUCUGUUGCUAUAUAUGACAAAACUGAAAUGCUGAAUUGUUUCAAUGAGCAUUUUGUUUCAUCUGGUAGGCUGUUUGAUUCAGUGUCCUCUGUCUCUGUACAACCCUGUGUGGAUGAACCAGUGAGAGCUGGUCAAACUUUCAGUUUUUUGCCAUUCUCAGUGCAUUUGGUACAGAAAGCCCUGAAAUCCUUAGAUCAGAGAAAGCCUGCAGGUCCUGAUCUUUUGGAUCCCUGCUUUUUAAAUCUGGCAGCUGAUUCCAUAGCUGAACCACUUACAUAUCUGUUCAAUCUAACCCUGGAAUGCAAUGAAAUUCCAAAGAUCUGGAAAUCAGCAUUUGUCCUACCACUCUUAAAAGGGGGAGAUCCAACUCUUUUAAAUAAUUAUAGGCCAAUCUCAAAGCUGUCACCCCUGGUGAAAAUACUUGAAACCCUUGUAAGUGAACAGCUAAAAGAGUUUUUAUUUACUAACUCUAUUUUAUCAAUGUACCAAUUGGGCUUCAGGAAGAAGCAUAGCACAUUUACAGCAGCCAUGAAGGUUUUAAAUGAUAUCAGCCAUUGACAAAAAACAGCACUGUGUCUCACUUUUUAUUGAUCUCUCUAAGGCUUUUGAUACAGUUGAUCAUGCUAUACUAAAAGGCAGAGAUUGUCGAGUGUAGGUCUUUCGGAGCAUGCAGUUGCAUGGUUUGCUAACUAUCUGUCUGAUAGAACUCAGUGUACUCAAUUUGAUAGGCUCGUGUCUGUUAAAUUGUCUGUCUGUAAUGGUGUGCCCAAAGCCUCUGUACUUGGUCCUCUCUUAUUCACUAUUUAUAGAAAUAAUUUAUACAAAAAUGUCCAAAAUGCGCAACUUCAUUUUUAUGCUGAUGAUACUGUUAUUUACUGUUGUGCCUCGUCUCUUACAAAAGCUUUCCAGAAAUGCUUUUUAUACUGUUCAACAUACCUUGUGUCAAUUGAAGCUUAUCAGUACGAUUAUAACCCUUUUCCCAUAGCCAAUCCUGGGAACAACAAAAUCCUAGGUGACUGGUUGGCCAUGCCAUGACCAAUGAUUUAUAAGAGAAUUAGGCCUUAAGUUAUCUAAGUCAAAACAUUGAUUGUAAUGUAUUAUGUUUUGUUUAAAUAUGUAUAUUCCAUUUGAUUUAUAGCCCUGUGUAAUUUGAGG
ensembl:lncRNA